AUUGAACGCUUGCGGCAGGCCUAACACCUGCAAGUCGAGCGAGCGGCGGACGGGUGAGUAAUGUAUGGGGACUGCCCGCUAGAGGGGGAUAACUACUGGAAACGGUAGCUAAUACCGCAUACUAUCGGAUAACCCAUAUGGGAUUAGCUAGUAGGUGAGGUAAUGGCCCACCUAGGCGACGAUCCCUCGCUGGUCUGAGAGGAUGAUCAGCCACACUGGGACUGAGACACGGCCCAGACUCCUACGGAGGCAGCAGUGGGGAAUAUUGCACAAGGGGCGCAAGCCUGAUGCAGCCAUGCCGCGUGUAUGAAGAAGGCCCUAGGGUUGUAAAGUACUUUCAGUCGGGAGGCGUUACCGAAAGAAGAAGCACCGGCUAACUCCGUGCCAGCAGCCGCGGUAAUUC
rnacentral:rRNA from 1 species